rnacentral:piRNA from 1 species
UACACAGCAUUGGUUUGUAAUAAUCUGGUC